CCCUUAGAUGCUCUGGGCCGCACGCGCGCUACACUGGUCGAUGCAACGAGUUUCUUUCCUUGGCCGACAGGCCUGGGCAAUCUUUGAACAUCGAUCGUGAUCGGGAUAGAUUCUUGUAAUUUUUGAUCUUAAACGAGGACUUCCUAGUAAACGCAAGUCAUCAGCUUGCAUUGAUUACGUCCCUGCCCUUUGUACACACCGCCCGUCGCACCUACCGAUUGAAUGGUCCGGUGAAAUCUCCGGACUGGCGUGAGUCGGAGCAAUCUGACAAACACCGGAAAGUUGAUUAAACCUUACCAUUUAGAGGAAGGUGAAGUCGUAACA
rnacentral:rRNA from 1 species